rnacentral:rRNA from 1 species
UACGGAGGUGGCAAGCGUUGUCCGGAAUUAUUGGGCGUAAAGCGCGCGCAGGCGGUCCUUUAAGUCUGAUGUGAAAGCCCACGGCUCAACCGUGGAGGGUCAUUGGAAACUGGGGGACUUGAGUACAGAAGAGAAGAGUGGAAUUCCACGUGUAGCGGUGAAAUGCGUAGAGAUGUGGAGGAACACCAGUGGCGAAGGCGACUCUUUGGUCUGUAACUGACGCUGAGGCGCGAAAGCGUGGGGAGCAAACAGG